GGGGCUGUAGCUCAGUUGGGAGAGCGCUUGACUGGCAGUCAAGAGGCCGAGGGUCCGAUUCCCUUCAGCUCCACCA
rnacentral:tRNA from 1 species